ensembl:lncRNA
GUAACGUCGACGUGCAACUUAGCUGAUGUAACUUAUGGGAGGAGUAGGCUCCUAAAUGAGCUGCUCCUGUGUGCUCUGAAGAUGGUUCAUUUGAACCAUUUUUACCUACUCUAAGGUGUUUGGUCAGCCAAGUGCUGUCUGACUGAAGAACAGAUUGAACAUCUUUCUCAGUGCAUGAAGUUCUCUGAAACAUCUCCAGCUUUGCCUUCCAAAGAUUCACAAGAGAUUGAGGCAGAGUGGCAGUGAAAAAUGUUGAUGUAUCAAUAGCCUGGGACCCCACUUGCUCCACUGCCCUGAGAGAUUGCAACAGGAUGCUCCCCUGCUCUUAGUCCAGGACUGGUUUCAAGUCUCCAGAUGCUGCAGACAUACUUGGAUUCAUGAGGCAAUGGAAAGGAAAAUGGGCUCAGGCUGUUGACCAGGUUCUUCAUCCGUCUGACAGAAGAUCCCUACUAGAACAUCCUAGUUUGUUUUAGACUGCGUAUCUGUGAUGUACUGUAAAGUGUCCAUCGCCAUCUGAGUGCCAAAAAGCUUCUGUGCUGCAGCAGUGGUCUGUUUUCUUCCCUUGCACAUCCAUGGACAAAAAUACAUCCGUGCUCAUGCUGUGUCUCCCUUCACACCAGAGCCACGCGUGGAACUCUUUCAGUUUGUUCUGAUCUCUGUGAGCAGGCGGAGCUGCAAUUUUCUUUCAUUUAAAACUGUUCUUUGUCAUUUGAUGGUUUCACCUUGAGUCCCCUGACAAGAGCUUUCAUGGGCAACAUUUUCACCCCCGUGUUCCUUAAAGCAGAAGAGUUCCUCCUUGUGGGAGUUACUUGUAUGAACUCCACUCUCCCCCCCUGGCAGGAACCCAGUUGGGAUUGCUGCCUUUUGCCAACUUCUGUGUGGGAGUGGAUGCUCCCUCUUGGAAAGCAAAUCCAAAGCAUAUCUGAAGGGGUCCACAGAAGGAGGUAACCCAGUCAAAGGUACAAACAAGAAAUCUUUUUUUUUCCCCAUGCUUUGCUGACUCUUAAGAGGAGGGCUAUGCUCCUCCAGCAAACAAACAGAAGAUGAAAAUUCAUGUGAGAGAGCAGGGAUAAAAUAUGUGUAAUACUAAUUUUGCUAGUUUUCCAAGCCCCAUAUGUUUAGUAACAAAAUAAAAUCACAACACGGGAAAUUGGAUGAUAUAUCCAGGACAUGGGGGGAAAUCUAUGGCUAUUAAUUUGUAAUUUUGUUUUGCUAACUGUGAGACAAGAAGGCUUUCUGCACACUAAAUAAUGAUAGUAUUUGGAGUGAUAAAUCUGAGCAUCCUUGUGCUGUCUCCUGCUGCUGAAUAAAUCUGUUGGGCUGUUACAGG